rnacentral:rRNA from 1 species
UCCUACGGGGGGCAGCAGUGAGGAAUAUUGGUCAAUGGGCGCGAGCCUGAACCAGCCAAGUUGCGUGAGGGAUGACGGUCCUACGGAUUGUAAACCUCUUUUGCCGGGGAGCAAGCGUGCGUUCGUGAACGCGCGUCGAGAGUACCCGGAGAAAAAGCAUCGGCUAACUCCGUGCCAGCAGCCGCGGUAAUACGGAGGAUGCGAGCGUUAUCCGGAUUUAUUGGGUUUAAAGGGUGCGUAGGCGGCCUGCUAAGUCUGGAGUGAAAGGUACCGGCUCAACCGGUACAGGCUCUGGAAACUGGCGG